rnacentral:rRNA from 1 species
CCUACGGGUGGCAGCAGUGGGGAAUUUUGCGCAAUGGAGGAAACUCUGAUGCAGCGACGCCGCGUGAGUGAAGAAGGAUUUCGGAAUGUAAAGCUCUGUCGUCAGGGAAGAAAAAGACGGUGCCUGAUUACUUCACCCCGUCUCACUACGUUCCAGCCGCCGCAGUCCUACGUAGGGGGCAAGCGUUGUCCGGAUUUACUGGUUGGAACGGGAGCGUGGACGGCAGAAAAAGUCUGGAGGGACAGGCCGGGGCUUAAACCCGGAGCUGCUUUGGAAACUGUGCAGCUAGAGUGCAGGAGAGGGAAGUGGAAGUCCUAGUGUAGCGGUGAAAUGCGUAGAUAUUAGGAGGAACACCAGUGGCGAAGGCGGCUUACUGGACUGUAACUGACGUUGAGGCUCGAAAGCGUGGGGAGCAAACAGGAUUAGAUACCCCAGUAGUC